rnacentral:rRNA from 1 species
AUGUCGUCGCUGGACAUACCCAGCCUCCGGCGAGCCGGUGCCGUCUGCAGGUCCUGGCGCGCGGCGCACAACGCCUUCUGCCUCCCCGCGCUGGAGCGAGCGCCGUGCCUGUUCUACGCCUGCGAGGAGUACGGGCCCAACGACGCCGCACUCUACUGCCCCGCCACCGGCGCCACCUUCCGGGUCCCCUUCCCGGGGCCCCCGCAUGAGAGGCGGGGCUUCACCUUCGCGUGCCACGGCGGCUGGCUGUUUACCACCGACGAGGCCGGCGACCCUUACCUCCUCAACCCCGUCACCGGCGCCCAGGCCACGCUCCCUCCGGUCAAAACUAUCUACCAGAACGACGAAUUCUAUGACGACGGUGGCAAGCAUGUCUGGUCUGCUGACCCCGAGAACGGGAUCAUGAAACCCAGCAUCAGCUGGGCGCGACACCUGGUGUUCCUUCGGGUUGCCAUCUCUACGACCGCCGAUGUGACGGAAUGCACCGUCCUCAUCGUGCAUAAUCCGAAGUGGAGACUCUCUUUUGCCAGGCCGGGAGACGACCGGUGGACACUGGUCUCCCAGGAUGGAGGCUACAUUGACAACGUUCUUUACAAUGACAAGGAUGGCUUGUUCUACAUUUUGUAUGCGAAUGGCUCUAUUGGUACUUUAAAUCUUUGUGAGCCUUCACCAUCAGUAACCAUGAUCAUGCGCAGCGUGUUACCCUCGUUAGGAUAUCAUACCAUGUAUCCUGUCAUCGGUCCAUCGGGUGAACUCCUGCAGGUCUGGAGGGACUGGAGUCACAUAGAUACUCUACUCAAGUAUCGUGCUAGAGACAGAAGAUAG